GUCCACGCCCUAAACUAUGUCAACUGGUUGUUGGGAAGGUUCCUUCUCAGUAACGUAGCUAACGCGUGAAGUUGACCGCCUGGGGAGUACGGCCGCAAGGUUGAAACUCAAAGGAAUUGACGGGGGACCCGCACAAGCGGUGGAUGAUGUGGUUUAAUUCGAUGCAACGCGAAAAACCUUACCUACCAUUGACAUGUCAAGAAUCUUGCAGAGAUGUGAGAGUGCUCGAAAGAGAACUUGAACACAGGUGCUGCAUGGCCGUCGU
rnacentral:rRNA from 1 species